rnacentral:rRNA from 1 species
AUUGAACGCUGGCGGCAUGCCUUACACAUGCAAGUCGAACGGUAACAGGUCUUCGGACGCUGACGAGUGGCGAACGGGUGAGUAAUACAUCGGAACGUGCCUAGUAGUGGGGGAUAACUACUCGAAAGAGUGGCUAAUACCGCAUGAGAUCUACGGAUGAAAGCAGGGGAUCGCAAGACCUUGUGCUACUAGAGCGGCCGAUGGCAGAUUAGGUAGUUGGUGGGAUAAAAGCUUACCAAGCCGACGAUCUGUAGCUGGUCUGAGAGGACGAUCAGCCACACUGGGACUGAGACACGGCCCAGACUCCUACGGGAGGCAGCAGUGGGGAAUUUUGGACAAUGGGCGCAAGCCUGAUCCAGCAACGCCGCGUGCAGGAUGAAGGCCUUCGGGUUGUAAACUGCUUUUGUACGGAACGAAAAGCCCCGGGUUAAUACCCUGGGGUCAUGACGGUACCGUAAGAAUAAGCGCCGGCUAACUACGUGCCAGCCGCCGCGGUAA